CAUGUGCAGUGAUGCAAGACCUGCUAACAUACUUAAUUUAAUACCAAGGAGAUGCCAAUACUUCAUCGUGAUCUACACCACAACCAGAUUUCCUUAAUAUCGUAACCAUGAUGAAGAACUUGGGCAAAAAUCAUUUCGAAGGAGGAACAAAUCCUUUUGAUGCUGGAGGUGACUCUAGGACUUGCUUCCACUGCAGAAAAGCCGGACACUACUAGAGGGAAUGUCAUUAGCUGCAGACGGGACAAGGAAAGGGUCGUCGGG
rnacentral:lncRNA from 1 species